UACGUAGGUGGCGAGCGUUGUCCGGAUUUACUGGGCGUAAAGGGCGCGUAGGCGGCGCGGUAAGUCACUUGUGAAAUCUCUGAGCUUAACUCAGAACGGCCAAGUGAUACUGCAGUGCUAGAGUGUGGAAGGGGCAAUCGGAAUUCUUGGUGUAGCGGUGAAAUGCGUAGAUAUCAAGAGGAACACCUGAGGUGAAGACGGGUUGCUGGGCCAACACUGACGCUGAGGCGCGAAAGCCAAGGGAGCAAACGGG
rnacentral:rRNA from 1 species